GCCGGUUUGGCUUAAUGGUAAAGCGUGCGUCUUGUAAACACAAAAUUGGAGUUCGAUUCUAUAAAUUGACA
rfam:Picea glauca, whole genome shotgun sequence.